CGGACGGGUGAGUAACGCGUGGGUAACCUGCCUCAUACAGGGGGAUAACAGUUAGAAAUGACUGCUAAUACCGCAUAAGACCACAGUGCCGCAUGGCACAGGGGCCAAAGCCUUGACGGUAUGAGAUGGACCCGCGUCUGAUUAGGUAGUUGGUGGGGUAACGGCCUACCAAGCCGACGAUCAGUAGCCGACCUGAGAGGGUGACCGGCCACAUUGGGACUGAGACACGGCCCAAACUCCUACGGGAGGCAGCAG
rnacentral:rRNA from 1 species